ACGAUGAAGCUGGAGCUUGCUCCGGUGGAUUAGUGGCGAACGGGUGAGUAACACGUGAGCAAUCUGCCCUUGACUCUGGGAUAACUGCGGGAAACUGUAGCUAAUACCGGAUACGAGGCUCGAAGGCAUCUUCGGGUCUGGAAAGAAUUUCGGUCAAGGAUGAGCUCGCGGCCUAUCAGCUAGUUGGUGAGGUAAUGGCUCACCAAGGCGACGACGGGUAGCCGGCCUGAGAGGGUGACCGGCCACACUGGGACUGAGACACGGCCCAGACUCCUACGGGAGGCAGCAGUGGGGAAUAUUGCACAAUGGGCGAAAGCCUGAUGCAGCAACGCCGCGUGAGGGAUGAAGGCCUUCGGGUUGUAAACCUCUUUUAGCAGGGAAGAAGCGAAAGUGACGGUACCUGCAGAAAAAGCACCGGCUAACUACGUGCCAGCAGCCGCGGUAAUACGUAGGGUGCAAGCGUUGUCCGGAAUUAUUGGGCGUAAAGAGCUCGUAGGCGGUUUGUCGCGUCUGCUGUGAAAACCUGAGGCUCAACCUCAGACCUGCAGUGGGUACGGGCAAGCUAGAGUGCGGUAGGGGAGAUGGGAAUUCCUGGUGUAGCGGUGGAAUGCGCAGAUAUCAGGAGGAACACCGAUGGCGAAGGCACAUCUCUGGGCCGUAACUGACGCUGAGGAGCGAAAGCGUGGGGAGCGAACAGGAUUAGAUACCCUGGUAGUCCACGCCGUANACGGUGGGUGCUAGUUGUGGGUCACAUUCCACGUGAUCCGUGACGAAGUUAACACAUUAAGCACCCCGCCUGGGGAGUACGGUCGCAAGACUAAAA
rnacentral:rRNA from 1 species